GUCUUCUGAGUAUAAGACCUUUAUUUUCCCUCUUGGCCCCAUGUCUAUUACCUUAAGGGAUGUUGGGGCCCUGGUGAAUCUGCCACCUUUGGGCGAUACCAUUUUUCCUGGUAUUUUAGUCUCUGGUGGCGCCCCAAAGUUUGGUAGAAACUACACCGAUUCUUAUUCAAGCCUGCAGACCCUCCACAAUCAUUCGAGCGCUGAGCCUACCCAUACUGAGCGAGUGGCCUUCCUUUUAGUUUGGCUUUGUAAAUAUGUUUUGUGCGUGCCAAGUAUAAAGCCCUCUCUGAGUUAUUUACCUAUAGCGCACGAAUUGGCGCGUGGCAGGCCUUUGAAUUUAUGUUCUUUGUUUUUGGCUGCCC
rnacentral:lncRNA from 1 species